rnacentral:rRNA from 1 species
AGUGAACGCUGGCGGCGUGCCUAAUACAUGCAAGUCGAACGGACAAGUAAGAGCUUGCUCUUAUGAGUUAGUGGCGCACGGGUGAGUAAUGUAUAGCUAAUCUGCCCUACACUAGAGGACAACAGUUGGAAACGACUGCUAAUACUCUAUACUCCUCUUUAACAUAAGUUAGAUAGGGAAAGUUUUUCGGUGUAGGAUGAGGCUAUAUUGUAUCAGCUAGUUGGUGAGGUAAUGGCUCACCAAGGCUAUGACGCAUAACUGGUCUGAGAGGAUGAUCAGUCACACUGGAACUGAGACACGGUCCAGACUCCUACGGGAGGCAGCAGUAGGGAAUAUUGCUCAAUGGGGGAAACCCUGAAGCAGCAACGCCGCGUGGAGGAUGACACUUUUCGGAGCGUAAACUCCUUUUGUUAGGGAAGAACAAUGACG